rnacentral:lncRNA from 1 species
AACAAACCAUAAGCCAACAUAGGGUAUACGAAUUUCACACCAAUUUCAUCACACAAUCAACAAUUAUAACACAAACAUCAGAAUUGAGAUUUAAAACAAUCAAUCCUAAGGAGGCUAAGGGUUCCUCCAUUCUACCCUUCCAUCAUACCCCUUAUUAUUGAAACAAUUUCCCACCCUGACCUCAAACCUUAGCAGAAAUUCUAGUUUAGGUGUGUUCUUCCUUCAUAAGGCUCUUCACAGAAGUUCUUCC